GCCCGAUGAUGAGUCCAAGGCGAAUACGAGCGAACUGAACGAGAGCUGGGUUCUUCUUGCCUCUAUUGGCAGGUAAUCUUGGCAGUGCAGAGGAGCAUUCCUGCUCUGCUGUAAGGGCCUGCCUACAGUGACUUUGCUCAACCCUCAGUAGUCCUUUGUAAGUGACAGUGGAGUAAUCACGGGUAUGAAGCGGACAAUAUGUGUACAUGUGUAAGGAAGCAAGGAGCGCACCCAGCUCAAAGUUCAGUCAGCUGUGAGUUGCUUCGUUGGUAAUCUGAGGGUU
ensembl:snoRNA